rnacentral:rRNA from 1 species
CUCCAUGUGUAGCGGUGGAAUGCGUAGAUAUAUGGAAGAACGCCAGUGGCGAAGGCGGCUCUCUGGUCUGCAACUGACGCUGAGGCUCGAAAGCAUGGGUAGCGAACAGGAUUAGAUACCCUGGUAGUCCAUGCCGUAAACGAUGAGUGCUAAGUGUUGGGAGGUUUCCGCCUCUCAGUGCUGCAGCUAACGCAUUAAGCACUCCGCCUGGGGAGUACGACCGCAAGGUUGAAACUCAAAGGAAUUGACGGGGGCCCGCACAAGCGGUGGAGCAUGUGGUUUAAUUCGAAGCAACGCGAAGAACCUUACCAGGUCUUGACAUCCAGUGCAAACCUAAGAGAUUAGGUGUUCCCUUCGGGGACGCUGAGAC